rnacentral:rRNA from 1 species
AGCGAACGCUGGCGGCAGGCUUAACACAUGCAAGUCGAACGCCCGCAAGGGGAGUGGCAGACGGGUGAGGAACACGUGGGAACGUACCCUUCGGUUCGGAAUAACUCAGGGAAACUUGUGCUAAUACCGGAUACGUCCGAAAGGAGUAAGAUUUAUCGCCGAAGGAUCGGCCCGCGUCUGAUUAGCUUGUUGGUGAGGUAACGGCUCACCAAGGCGACGAUCAGUAGCUGGUCUGAGAGGAUGAUCAGCCACACUGGGACUGAGACACGGCCCAGACUCCUACGGGAGGCAGCAGUGGGGAAUAUUGGACAAUGGGGGCAACCCUGAUCCAGCCAUGCCGCGUGAGUGAUGAAGGCCUUAGGGUUGUAAAGCUCUUUUGUCCGGGAAGAUAAUGACGGUACCGGAAGAAUAAGCCCCGGCUAACUUCGUG